rnacentral:lncRNA from 1 species
UUCAGCACAGCUGGGUAGAAGUCUUUCUCUGCAUUAAGGGUUAAAGAAUGAAUUAAUGAAGUUUUCUUUAGAUAAGAUAUAAACUUUAUUGUAGAUGUUCCUUUUUCUCCCCCCCAACUGUAUCAUGUAGCACAGAUAGACUGAUUUAAAAGGUAAGUAUCAGCCAAAGACAGAUUUGGAGCAUAUAUGGGGAGAUAUGAUCUAGUCAGUCUCUGUGUCUUUUUUCUCACCUCUCAAAUUGAAUAUAUUAAAUGCUAUGAAUUUUAUCCUCUGAAUACAAUAUUAAUACUUUAAGUUUAGAUAACUGGCUGGGUAUUCUGUGAGUGAGUGUAACUGGAAUGGGUAUUGUUAUCUCUACUUGAAAGAAGAAACUUUCAUAAUCAGCUUCUGGUAUUUGUAUCAGAAGUGAUCAGACUCUUGUUGAAUUCUGAGAUUUUCUCAUCUCUGCAUGAUGAUAGAGUGUAAAAUACUAGAGCAACUGACUCUUCUAAUAAUUGUGCUUAAGAAAGGCACUAAGGUAAUAGAGUUUUCUUUUUCUUCUUUUUUUCUUUUCUCUUUCCCUCUCUCUCUCUUUCUUUCUUUUGUGCUUUUUAGGGCCACACCUGCAGCAUAUGGAAUUUCCCAGUCAGGGGCUGAAUUGGAGCUUCAGCUGCUGGCCUAUGCCACAGCCACAGGAUGGUAGAUCUGAGCCACAUCUUCGACCUACAGCACAGCUCAUGGCAAUGCUGAAUCCUUUAACCCACUGACUGGGGCCAGGGAUCGAACCCACAUCCUCAGGGAUACUAAUCGGGUUCAUUACUACUGAGCCACAAUGGGAACUCCCAUUUUUUUUGAAACAGAGUUUUUCUUUUCUUUUCUUUUUCUUUUUUUUUUUUUGUCUUUUUGGCAUUUCUUGGGUCGCUUUCGCGGCAUAUGGAGGUUCUCAGGCUAGGGGUCGAAUCGGAGCUGUAGCCACCGGCCUACACCAGAGCCACAGCAACACGGGAUCUGAGCCGAGUCUGCAAACUGCACCCCAGCUCACGGCAACACCGGAUCCUUAACGCACUGAGCAAGGCCGGGGAUCGAACCUGCAACCUCAUGGUUCCUAGUCGGAUUCGUUAACCACUGCGCCACAACGGGAACUCCAAAACAGAGUUUUUCUUAAGGCUGCCUUCACAUGUGUAAAAUAAUUGAGAUACCAACAUAUAUCCUUGGUUAAAAUGCAAUGUAAAAAAACUUAUAUAGGUCAUGUUAUUUCUUCUCAGUGUAUAAUAAAAAGUGUUUUUAUUUAUUUAUCACAUCCCCAAACGCAAUUUCUUCAUUUUCCUCCACAAUGGUCACUUCUUAACAAUGGUUGUUAUGUAGAGGUGUUUAAAUAAACAAGAGAGUAGAGUUAGAAAAAGAAAAUAACUGAAAAAAAUGAAAUAUUUAGAGGGGUAUGAUUGGUUUACUAUACUCAGGGCCUAAAAUGAAGUCACUGGGUCUCCACCUUUCUCUCCAUUUUCUCCUAUGGAAUCUGUUAUGGACUAAAUUAUGUCCCCUAAAAUUCAUAUGUUAAAAUUCCAACCCCCAAUGUGACUGUAUUUGGAGAUAGGGCCUUCCAGGAGGUAAUUAAGAUUAAAUGAGGUCAUGAAUACAAGGUUUGUCCCCCUCUUGGAUAUGAUGGCUCAAGAUUCACAGUCUGAAUUCGUCAGCCUCUGGAACAAAAAGAGCAUCUUCCCAUGUAGUUUGACAAAAACUUCAGGGAGUCUCAGGCCAGGCUGGAGAACUGAGUCGUACCAUUCCCACCAGGAGAGCCACAGUUAUCUUGAGCUGGGGAGGGGUAAUUCUCCAAAGGAAGGAACCAAACACUAUUCCCAACGAGCUUGGGCAGGAGAAAAAUUAUUGUAGUUGGUUGGGGAGGAACGGUUAGAGGGCUCUAGCUUCUAAUUCAGGGUUUUUAUUUGACUAAACAGGCCCUGAGAAGGACUCGGGAAAAGCAAUGACUUCAUUCAAACACACAGGGGGCAAGACUGAGAAGACUAUGUGAUUGAUCAGAGUUUUUCCAGAUGAUGCAGUGGCCCCAGGGACCCAGAAACCCGACCAUCUCUAUACGACCAGAUGUUGCAAAGUAAAUAACAAUUCAGUUUUGCUUUGUGAUUAAAGUGAUAGAAAUACUAUAAAUAUUUCCAAAGAACUAAUAGGGAAGAAAUUCCAAGUCCUUUAGGCCUUAAACUGCAAAGGUUGUCUAUAUUCAACUAGAGGUCUUCCAGGCUCAUUAUAUAAGAAAUCUCUCCUUCAGGCAGAGCUUGAAUGUUGCUAUAGCAACCAGGCUCACACUAGGAAGACAGAGGGAAAGGCUCUUGGGAGAAAGCAAAGGAUACCUUUGGUCGCUGGUGAGCCUGAUGCUAGAUGUUCCCUGAAGUUCACUCAUCAGCUCUGUGUGCAAGAGAUGCAAACAAGAUUGACUAGGAGCAUAAAGAGCUUGGGUUCAAGCCUGGCUCUCUGCGUCCUUGUGGUUCUGGGCCCUCUCUUCUGCUCAGUGAAGGGGAGCUGAGUCCGCUGAGAGGUAGGCAGGGGUGGUCUGCAUGUCCCUCAGCAGCAUCCUUCGCUUAUUGCUCUUCAUUAUUUUACUGCAGCUUCCGUGGGAAUCAGGGUUGGGAGGAGAGAUAGAAAAGAGAUCCAAGAGAAGAUUUCAGUAAAGCUGCACUGAAAUGUGGCAUCCAUUGUCGAUGAGAAGUGGACUCUAGAGUCAAGAGUAAGCAAGAAAUUCAGUCAAUGGGUUGAGGGCCGAACACAGAAAAAUGACCUGAAGAACUUUGUAAAUACUAUUGGAUGGGGAUGUCAUGUAGGUUAGGAUAUGAGAAAGCAGACAAAUGCGGGAAAUUUAAAAGCAAAUAUUGAAAUUUUCCCAGGGCAUCUUUAACUCUAGCAUCCACCCUUUGGACUUCUUUUCCAGGAUCUUCCAUACAGUGCCCACUACCCAGGAUGGUCUUCCCAUCUUGAUGACACCAGCCUGUCCUCGACUUGCAUUCCUUAAGAGCUCAUUAAGGUAGUAGUUACCUAGUCUAUGUUCCAGAGGAAAAGUCAGAACAUAUUUUCCCACUAGAGAACACAUUCAUAAUUUAACAAUAAUUUUUCUGUAUCUGGAUAAUUUUUUCAUUUUAUGGACCUGAAGGAUAGAUGCUGCAUGGGCUUUUAGUCAAAAAGGUUUGAGUGCAGAUAGUUCUCGAUGACUCAGUGGGUUGAGGAUCCAGAGUUGUCACUGAAGCAGCUCAGGUCACUGCUAUGG